UGCAGUCGAACGGUGAAGCCNAGCUUGCUUGGUGGAUCAGUGGCGAACGGGUGAGUAACACGUGAGCAACCUGCCCUGGACUCUGGGAUAAGCGCUGGAAACGGCGUCUAAUACUGGAUAUGANACGUGAUCGCAUGGUCNNGUUUGGAAAGAUUUUUCGGUCUGGGAUGGGCUCGCGGCCUAUCANCUUGNUGGUGAGGUAAUGGCUCACCAANGNGUCNACNGGUAGCCGGNCUGANAGGGUGACCGGNCACNCUGGGACUGANACACGGCCCANACUCCUACNGGAGGCAGCAGUGGGGAAUAUUGCACNAUGGGCGAAAGCCUGAUGCANCAACNCCNCGUGAGGGAUGACNGNCUUCNGGUUGUAAACCUCUUUUAGCAGGGAAGAAGCGAAAGUGACGGUACCUGCAGAAAAAGCGCCGGCUAACUACGUGCCAGCACCGCGGUAAUACGUAGGGCGCAAGCGUUAUCCGGAAUUAUUGGGCGUAAAGAGCUCGUAGGCGGUUUGUCGCGUCUGCUGUGAAAUCCCGAGGCUCAACCUCCGGCCUGCAGUGGGUACGGGCAGACUAGAGUGCGGUAGGGGAGAUUGGAAUUCCUGGUGUA
rnacentral:rRNA from 1 species